ensembl:lncRNA
GGUAAACAGUAUUUAUUCAGGCAAUGAAACAUGGAAAAAAUAUAUUAGUAAUCAUUAUAAUAAUUUCAUUUGUGUGAGUAUAACUUUUACAAAUAUUUACCUGACAAUAUAAAAAGGGAAAUUACUAUGUAUAUAAAAUUUAUGUAUAUGAUUAUUCCACACAACACAAUCCUGACAGCAGUAGUCAAUGCAGCGCUCACCCCUCUAGAUGAGGGGCUCCUUACAUGACCUGGGGCACCUGUGGGGACACAGGGGAGCAGAUGUGCAGUGGACGUCUAGUUGUUGGCACGUUAGUACAGUGGGGAUCUACUGGCAAACACAAGCUUGUUAACACAACAGAGAAGUCUACUGCUACCUCUGAGGUGCAAAAGUGCCUGGGUCCUUUUCCAUGCCUGAGCAGGACAGAGGCAAAGGCCCACACCAUGGGUGUGGCGACCUACAGGCUGCCCUGUAUCUGGGCUGGGCAUGGUUUCUGAGCUCAAAUUUGCAUAUAUUCACUUGAAAAUUAUUCCAAAAUCUAGAAUAUCAGUUGGUGAUCUGACUAGGAAAUGCUGUUUGGAGUACUGUAUAUUCCAGAUGCCACUAACAGGCAAAGGAAGAGACAGCAGCAUCUUGACUGACAAAGUGAAGAGUCGACACUGGGAAGGUCCAGGCCACACCGAACUCCAAGCCCAGCCUCUUCCAGACAAGUUAAAGCAUUGUACAGACUGCCACAGGCCAGGAUGGCACGCAACAUCUCCAUAUUAGAACUAUAACCAGAAUAUGUAUUUAUAUAAUAGCUGUAACCAUAUUAUAGUUAAUAAAGUCAUUCCUUAGGAAUCAUGUUUGUCCAAAUCUAAUUGCAUGCUAAGAGGCACAGAAAUGGGAUUGCAUUUGGAUGAAAAACUACGAAAAGUGCAAUCUUUAGACUCCAGAAUGCAAGCUCUGGCACGAGGGAGCAGGACUUCACUGGAGGAUGGUGCCACGUGUCUGUCACCGGAGGAGACCCUUACAGAGAGCAGUCUGCAGCAUCAACUCCUCUACCUUUUCUGUAUGAGACUCAAAGACUGAGUGGUAAACUAUUUUUCCUUUUUUUGCAGCACUAGGGAGGGAACCCCAGGCCUCAUACAUGCUGGGUAAGCACUCCUCUGUUGAGCUACACUCCCAGUCCCAUAAAUUGCUUUUUAAAAAUAACUGGAAUCUGGAGUUCAGUGAAAGCUUUUUGAACAGAAAUCUUCUCAAAGUACUCCUUUAUUAAAAUCUCGGAAAGAACAUGACUUCUUAGACCUUUGGCUUGACAUUCUGGGAUUCCCAGACUAUGUUUGUUCUUUAAGAAGUAGAAAUCUGUUAUCUUUAAAAUUCUUCAGAAUAUACACAGCUUUACUUUAAAAUCUCUUGCCUGAAUCAUUUAAUCUUUCAACACCUAGUUUCUCUCUUCCCAACAAGAGGAUAAGGAAAUUCAAGUCUGAGACCAAGUGGUCACACCACUACAAAGAAAAAACAGUCAUGGACAAUUCAUGAGAUGGUUACCAAGUGUAAUGAAAAACCAGAAAGAAAAGAAAAGGAGGGCUUUGGGAUACUCACUCCACUAGCAAAGAAUGUACUGAGUCACUGAUUCAGUGCACAUGCGCUUCACCCACUGGGUCUCGGCCCCUCAGCCCAUGGGGAGCCCUCCGUCAACCCUGUCAGCAGGCAGUGCAGCCCUGGGCGACUCAGGAAGCCCACUUGGUGGGGUGGUCUAUUCCUCUGUGGACACAUACAGAAGUGCUCAGGGCUGUCUGGUAUCUGUGUGGAGGCUGUCCUGAGUAUGAGCAGUAGGGGAAGUCAGAGACUGUCAAAGCCUCAGUUUCUCACCACCGUGCACUGCUGCACUUCCUAGUCUAGGCUGGGUCUGAGGAGGCUGAAUACUGGGCAUUUCAGUGUCUCCAGAGCAGAUCUACUGACACCAGGUGUGGGCAGGUCUCUGGUUCAAGGGGCUUCUGCCAGUGAGGUCAAGUCUAGGUGUGACUGUGACUGUCUAGCCCAGCAUACAGUAAACUGCUCAGCCUUUACCAAAAAACUGCUGGGUCAAAGCAGUAUACAUUUUGGCAAAGUCGGAAGCUAAAGAAGUGGCUCUGGACUCACAGUCUCAAGAUCACACAGUAAUUCCAAAAUCCCUAUCUAAACCUGCAGCUUCCUUCUCUUUCCCUUUUGGAUCAGGUUUUUUGUUUUAAUUGAACAAGUAAUUUGGCCCUCACAUGUGCUGAAACAGACUCUAGACCACUGGUGGAAACCUAUGGCAGGGGUGCCACAGCAGGCUGUUUGUAUCAUUGAAAGCUCCAAAUGGUUUGCCAUCACUGCCCUACACUACAUUCUUAUUUGCCACAGUACAAAAAACUAUUAGGGUGUGUGUGUUUGUGCUUAAAGAAAAGAUACUCUCCAUUUGCCUAGUAUAUUCAACCCCUGCCCAUCCCCCUUUCCUAGUACUGAACCCAGGGCCUUUGCACUGAGCCACAUCUCCAGCCCUUUUAAAAAUUCUUUGAGAGCUUGAACUUGAGAUCCUCCUGCCUCAGCCUCUCAGAGUGCUAAGAUUACAGGUCUAUACCACCAUGGCCAGCUUUUGCCUAGUACAUUAUCUUGCUCUGCCAGCUGUAUAGCUAUGGUUUUUUCUUUUUGGAGUGGAUGUAUUUAUUAAAUGAGAAUGGUGGAUAUUCCUUGUAAUGGUCAGGACUGGGAGGCCAGUGGCAAUAUCACUUAUCAAGGGCCCUUCUGUGUUCCUUGUGCAGGAACCUCAUUCAGCAGGCUCUCGUUUUCAGGGGGGUCUCUUGGACUUGCGUGCUAGAGAAGGACUCGUGUCAGCUCUGCUCUAGUGCACAGCACACUGUACUUCUGAAAUGCACAGUAAGCUUAAGAAGAUGCCCCUGGGGCUGGAGAUACAGCUCAGUGGUAGAGUACUUGCCUAAUUUGUACAAGACUCUGGGUUUGAUCUCUAGGACUGCAAAAAAAUUUUUAAAAAGAUAACAAGAAAGGUGACUAGCCAUUAUAAACUUAAGACAGACUGAUAUAAAAUAAGUAAAUAUGGGUAUGCCAACAAAACACAAGCAGCAGGUGGCUUUGUAAUGUUUCUGCAAACUGCAGCACCAACUUUACUUGCAGGAGAGGACUAAGAGGAAACUGGUCACACUAUCAGGAGACACUUGUACUUUGAGACUGUGACUACUGGGACAGCAUUCACAAUAAGCCACAGUGACUACUUCAAAGCCCAAAUGACUGUCAAGCCACUUCUCUAACCACAGCUAAUUUUUUUUCUUUGUACAAAAUGUUAAGACAGUAGGCUUUAAAAUACAGCCUAAGCACCAAUUAUAAUAAAUGAGUAUUGGUAAAACAUGACUUCUGGGUUUAAAAGAAAUUAUUGACUUCCCUGGGGCUAAAGAUUGCACCCAUGCUGAGUAACACACUGCUAAGGAAAUAUUCACUUUCAAGAUCUACAGAGGUUUUCACGAGGCACAGUUCAUUGCUCAAGUUGGCUCAUGCAAUAGUUUUACAAGAGAAGUAGGAAAGCACAGG